UCGAGCCAGCUGACUUACACUAUGGAUAGUGUACAAGACAACAGUUAUAGAACAUCACGUGAUAAAGUUGAUGGAAACGGCAAAAUAUUUAUUUACAAUAUAUGUGUUUCCAGGGGAAGAGCCUGUUACAAAGUCUGUGUCUAAAAAAAAGUAAACUCGCUCCUUGUCGGACAAAACUGAAUGUAAUUAAGUUAACUACCUAUGUACAUUAUCAGUGGAGUACUUGAAUUAAUAUCAAAUUGUAACCCGAGAUGCUGGUGCCACACCUUAUUACGUGACCACCCAGUGAGGCGUGAACACUCAGGGGCAUGAUAUACACCCUUGUGUUUGAUUUGAUAUACCAAUCAGCCGUGGACGCCCGACCAUAAAAAUGGUAUAUAUAGAUUUAACCCUAAUCAGGUAUCGUUAAAUAUCGUUAAAUCGUCGAGAACGUUCUGUCAGACGAUCAAACGAUAACUAUUCAACAAGUCGGUAAAUCACAUCGAAAGUUCUGGUCGCAGUGAGAAGCUCUGGAUGCCUUGAGGAGGGUUCACCAGCUCUGCUUCAACAACGUUGACAUGGGUAAGGCAUUUUAUUCUAUUUUUGUACACCAAACACUGUAUAUAUCUUGAAGAACCUUUGCCUUCUGUUUGGGUCAUGGUUUCUUUAUGAACAUAUUCACUGAACAUGUUGCUACCCUAUUACAGAUCUUACCAACGUCAUCAACAGUCAAGGCAGACAUCUUUCUUCAAGAAAUCUGCCCAAAAGGAAAAACACUGAAAUUGGACCAGUAAAGCUGCAAGACUUUGUCGGCCAGUCAAAAGUGGACGCUGCAAUCCAAGGUGAAACUUUCUUUCUCAUGGUGGGGCACACGCAUGAAGAUUUGGAUCAACUGUUUAGUGUUUAGUGCAAGGGAACUUAGACAGAAGCCUGCAACAACCCGCGAUGCCCUCCUUCAAGAUUGGGGACAUCCGGACGCCCACCACCAAGCUAUCAGACUUCAAGCCCUUCAUGCCUGCCCCAAGGGAAGCGACAACCCUCCCAACUAAAGUUCAAGAGGCAAUAGAGAAGAACAAUGAAAAACUGCAAAAACAAUCAAAGAUCACUCUGACAAAGCACCGAAGACAAGCGUCAGUAUCAGAACAAUAAAGAAGGAGCAGCAAGUUUUGCUGAAAUGAACAUAUUUUUUGUCUAAGCUAUGUGGCUGAGAUAUUGCCGAGGAUUGCAUUGCAGGAGUUUUGUACUUUGUAUGUUUUUGUUUCUUAGUAAAGCUGUGUAUUUAGAAUUGUAUAUAUAUAUACAUAUAUAAGAUGAGAUGUGCACAAUGAAAUUUACGAAACAAUAUAUGCAGUUAUAUUGUAAAA